UACGUAGGGGGCAAGCGUUGUCCGGAAUCAUUGGGCGUAAAGAGCGCGUAGGCGGCCCUGUAAGUCCGCUGUGAAAGUCAAGGGCUCAACCCUUGGAUGCCGGUGGAUACUGCAGGGCUAGAGUCCGGAAGAGGCGAGUGGAAUUCCUGGUGUAGCGGUGAAAUUCGUAGAUAUCGAGAGGAACACCGGUGGCGAAGGCGGCCAACUGGACGAAUACUGACGCUGAGACUCGAAAGCGUGGGGAGCAAACAGG
rnacentral:rRNA from 1 species